rnacentral:lncRNA from 1 species
GGACUUGUGAUGUAAUGCCGACGUGGCUAAAUACCAUGGAGAUAAGGUGGAUAAAUUCCAGAGAGGCAGAUCAUCAGGUAAUCUGGGCCCACCUCCUUCCCCUUCUGGAAAAUAGGACAUCACAAGACUGUGUAAUCUUCUGAUGACUACGGAAGCCUGAUUGUCCAGGAGGCUGCUCCAAGGGUUAAAGGAAACAAUGUGGGAGGUUUGGAGAUGACUCGCCAGGACUUAUGGGACACCAGCAGAGAGACUCAGAAAUUCAUUUUCAAGGACAGUAAAUGAGCCAAAGUACCCACUCACGACAGAAUCAGCUGGUGGCUGUUUUGCAAGGUCAUGCAAGCAUUCGGACAUGGGACCGAGGCUGGCAGAUGAAGGGCCAGGAGUAAGGGAUGAGAGCCCGUCCAGAUUCCUGCCUGAGCAUUCUGCUUCCUGGUCGUCUAGUGAUGAGACAUGAACAAGUAGCCUGCUGCUCCUGCCACCUGCCACCCGGAUGUCACCAUGCCUGCCUGCUACCAAGCUGAGGA